AAUUUUGGACAAUGGGGGAAACCCUGAUCCAGCCAUCCCGCGUGUAUGAUGACGGCCUUCGGGUUGUAAAGUACUUUUGGCAGAGAAGAAAAGGUAUCUCCUACUACGAGAUACUGCUGACGGUAUCUUCAUAAUAAGCACCUGCUAACUUCGUGCCAGCAGCCGCGGUAAUACGUAGGGUGCAAGCGUUAAUCGGAAUUACUGGGCGUAAAGGGUGUGUAGGAGGUUCGGAAAGAAAGAUUGGAAAUCCCAGGGAUCAACCUUGGAACUGCAUUUUUAACUGCCGAGCUAGAGUAUGUCAGAGGGGGGUAGAAUUCCACGUGUAGCAGUGAAAUGCGUAGAUAUGUGGAGGAAUACCGAUGGCGAAGGCAGCCCCCUGGGAUAAUACUGACGCUCAGACACGAAAGCGUGGGGAGCAAACA
rnacentral:rRNA from 1 species